rnacentral:rRNA from 1 species
UUUAAAUGAGAGUUUGAUCCUAGCUCAGAAUGAACGCUAAAGACAUGCUUAACACAUGUAAGUUAGACUAUAAAUGUAUUAAAAUAUUUAAGUAGCGUAUUAAUGAGUAAUACAUAAGAACUAAUUUAUUUUUUAAUCUAAUUAUAAAAUAUAAAAAAAUUAUAAAAUAAAAAGGCUUAUGUCUAAUUAAUUAGUUGGUAAAGUAAAGGUUUACCAAAGUAAUAAUAAGUAGUUGAUUUGAGAAGAAAGAUCAACCAUAUGAUAUUUAUAUAUCAAACUUUUAUUAAAAAGUAGCAGUGAGGAAUUUUUCGCAAUAAGUUAAAACUUGACGAAUGUAAUGUCAUGUGAAAAUUAAAUUCUUUUGAAUAUAAAUUUCUUUUAGUUAAAAAAAUAUUUAUAGAUUGUAUUAAAAAAAAAAGCAUCGGCUAAUUUUGUGCCAGCAGCCGCGGUAAUACAAAGGAUGUUAGCGUUAUUCAAAAUUAUUGGACGUAAAGUGUCUGUAGAUAUUUUUUAAGUCUAUAAUUAAAAAUUAAAGCUUAACUUUAAUUAAGUAAAUUUAACAUAUAUUAAUAGAAACUAAUAAAUUAAUUUUAGAGUUUUAAUAAAAAAAAGUAUAAGGAAUUUUUAAUGUAAUAGUAAUAUAUAUAUAUAUUAAAAGGAACACCAAUGAUGAAAAUAUUAUACUAUAAAUAAAAUUUAAACUAACAUUGAGAGACGAAAGUUAUGGUAUCCAAUAGGAUUAGAAACCCUAGUAGUCUUAACUGUAAACGAUGGAUACUAUAAUAAAUAUUAAUUAAUUAAAUUAAAAUUAUUAUAAGCUAACGCAUAAAGUAUCUCGUCUGGGUAGUACGUUUGCAAAAAUGAAACUUAAAGGAAUUGACGGAGAUAUCAUACAAGUGAAGGGUCAUGUGGUUUAAUUUGAUGUAAAACAAAAAAUAUUACCAAAUUUAGUAUUAAAUUAUUAAAAAUAUAUUAUAUAAAAGGGAUUUAAAUUUUUAAUUAUUAUUAAUAUAUAAGUGGUGCAUGGCUGAUAUAAAUUUAUACUUUGAAGUUUUAAAUUUUAUAAAAAUUUAAUAAUAAAUAUAAAUAUUUUAUAUUUUAAUUUAUUAUAAUUAUUAUUUUAAUAUAAAUAAAAAAAUCAAGUCAUCAUGCCCUUAAUAUUUUGGGCUACACACAUGACACAUUUUUUGAAAUAAAAAUAAAAUUGUAAAAUUAAUAUAUUAAUAUAAAUUCAUUUUAUUUUAUAAAUUGUAAAUUGAAAUUUAUUUACAUGAAGUUGGAAUUACUAGUAAUCGUUUAUAAAAUAAAAAUUAAUAACGGUGAAUUUUAAUAUUUGAAUCUUGUACAUACCGCCCGUCACAUUAAAAUAAUUAAAUUAUAUUCAAAAAAUAAUUAAUUAAUUAAUUAUUUUAGUUUUAAUAUAAUAAUUUUAAUGAAGUCGUAACAAGGUAGUUUUACUGGAAAGUGUGGCUGGAUUUAAUCUUUU